GCCGAAGUGGUGAAAUUGGUAGACGCGCACGCUUGAGGGGCGUGUGGGGAGACCCGUGCCGGUUCGAGUCCGGCCUUCGGCACCA
rnacentral:tRNA from 1 species